rnacentral:rRNA from 1 species
GACAGAGGGUGCAAACGUUGUUCGGAAUUACUGGGCGUAAAGCGCGUGUAGGCGGCUAUGCAAGUCGGAUGUGAAAGCCCUCGGCUCAACCGGGGAAGUGCACCCGAAACUGCAAAGCUAGAGUCUCGGAGAGGAUCGUGGAAUUCUCGGUGUAGAGGUGAAAUUCGUAGAUAUCGGGAGGAACACCAGUGGCGAAGGCGGCGACCUGGACGGAUAUUGACGCUGAGGUGCGAAAGCGUGGGGAGCAAACAGG